rnacentral:rRNA from 1 species
AUUGAACGCUGGCGGCAUGCUUACACAUGCAAGUCGAACGGCAGCACGGACUUCGGUCUGGUGGCGAGUGGCGAACGGGUGAGUAAUACAUCGGAACGUACCCAGUAAUGGGGGAUAACUAUCCGAAAGGAUAGCUAAUACCGCAUACGCCCUACGGGGGAAAGAGGGGGAUCGCAAGACCUCUUGUUAUUGGAGCGGCCGAUGGCUGAUUAGCUAGUUGGUAGGGCAAAGGCCUACCAAGGCAACGAUCAGUAGCGGGUCUUAGAGGACGAUCCGCCACACUGGAACUGAGACACGGUCCAGACUCCUACGGGAGGCAGCAGUGGGGAAUCUUGGACAAUGGGCGCAAGCCUGAUCCAGCAAUGCCGCGUGCGUGAAGAAGGCCUUCGGGUUGUAAAGCGCUUUUGUCAGGGAGCAAAUCCUUGUGGCUAAUACCCACCGGGGAUGAGAGUACCUGAAGAAUAAGGACCGGCUAACUACGUGCCAGCCGCCGCCGUAAGAC